UAGCGUAGUUCGGAAUUACUGGGCUUAAAGAGUUCGUAGGUGGUUAAAAAGUUAGUGGUGAAAUCCCAGAGCUUAACUCUGGAACUGCCAUUAAGACUUUUCAGCUAGAGUAUGAUAGAGGAAAGCAGAAUUUCUAGUGUAGAGGUGAAAUUCGUAGAUAUUAGAAAGAAUACCAAUUGCGAAGGCAGCUUUCUGGAUCAUUACUGACACUGAGGAACGAAAGCAUGGGUAGCGAAGAGGAUUAGAUACCCUCGUAGUCCAUGCCGUAAACGAUGUGUGUUAGACGUUGGAAAUUUAUUUUCAGUGUCGCAGGGAAACCGAUAAACACACCGCCUGGGGAGUACGACCGCAAGGUUAAAACUCAAAUGAAUUGACGGGGGCCCGCACAAGCGGUGGAGCAUGUGGUUUAAUUCGAUGCAACGCGAAGAACCUUACCAGGGUUUGACAUCCUGCGAAUCUCUUGGAAACUUGAGAGUGCCUUCGGGAGCGCAGUGACAGGUGGUGCAUGGCU
rnacentral:rRNA from 1 species